rnacentral:misc_RNA from 1 species
GAUGAAGAACGUAGCGAAACGCGAUAUGUAAUGUGAAUUGCAGAAUUCAGUGAACCAUCGAGUCUUUGAACGCAAGUUGCGCCCGAAGCCAUUAGGCCGAGGGCACGCCUGCCUGGGUGUCACACACCGUUACCCUCGCGCCAACGUCCAUCGUUGGCCGCGGCGCGGGGCGUGCGCUGACCUCCCGCGAGCGGGGUCUCGUGGUUGGUUGAAAAUCGAGUUCGCGGUCGAGGGUGCCGUGAUGAAAUGGUGGAUGGGCGACGCCCGAGGCCAAUCACGCGCGACUCUGUCCGGCUCGGACUCCUGGACCCCUUCGGCGUCUCCGGACGCUCUUUGGCGAGACCUCAGGUCAGGCGGGGCUACCCGCUGAGUUUAAGCAUAUCAAUAAGCGGAGGA